rnacentral:rRNA from 1 species
UACGUAGGGGGCAAGCGUUGUCCGGAUUUAUUGGGCGUAAAGAGCGUGUAGGCGGCCAGACAGGUCCGUUGUGAAAACUCGAGGCUCAACCUCGAGACGCCGAUGGAAACCGUCUGGCUAGAGUCCGGAAGAGGAGAGUGGAAAUUCCUGGUGUAGCGGUGAAAUGCGCAGAUAUCAGGAAGAACACCCGUGGCUAAGGCGGCUCUCUAGUAGCGGGUACUGACGCUGAGACGCGAAAGCGUGGGGAGCGAACAGG